AUUAAUGUGAAAGCCACACAUUUCAAAAAGUUGAAAAAAAAUAUAACUACUUCAAAUCCCUUCCAACACAAAUCCCUAACAUUUUUAAUCCUUGCAAUCUUCCCUUCGUCCACCCACCUCUCACUGGUGCUCCCGCAAUCAUUGCUACCCAUCUUUAUUUCUUCCCCCUACUUUCUGCCCGUGUCUCGCUCUUUAUGCUCUACUCCUUCAACAAUCAAAGCGACGGUGGUGAUGGUGGUGGAAGGAUCUGUUUUGGAGCAAAGCAGUUUUGAUGCCUUAAUAGUCGCAAGUUAGACGCUCAGCCAGCUCCUUUCAUAUUCCCUCACUCGAUUCUCCAUUGCUCGCCAGAAAUCUGAUGACACUUACAACUCUUUGUCCAUCACUGUUAAGCACUAUGGGAGACAGAUGCCCAUUACAGGUUCUUUAGGAACAAUCAACACAGAUCUGAUUCCUCGAUUGUGAUAUAGAGGUUCCAAUGAUGAUGCGAUGCAUAGAAAAAAGUGUGGGCCCCACUUCUUUAACGGGCAAUUGGCAAUAGCUUGAAAAGGCAAUAAAUCGAAAAUAGGAUUAAUUUGAAAUUCCUCCAAUUUCUGCAAAUUUGAAAUGAAAGGGGAUUUUCUUAAGGCGCCUCAAAUGCCCAUUUUGGAUUGCAACUUUGGCGACGACACCCAUCGUCGGCAGCGGCGCUUCAAUGACCUUGAGACAUGGAGAGAAUGAGAAGGUAAAUGAGGCAAAAUUAUAAUUUUAUCUUUGGAAGAGAGAAG
rnacentral:misc_RNA from 1 species